UCAACUUGGAAUCAAAAUCUUCUCUAUCUGUCUAUAACCAAAUUCCCACAAUUUCUAUGUACCAAUAUUUAUAUAUUAUAUAUCUCUCUCUAGCACACCUACAUUCUGUACAUCAUAUUAAUCAUGACAUGUAAGACAAGAGUCUGUGGCCAGUGUUUGUUAAUACUAUCAUAACAACGACCCAAGAUUUGUGUUCACACCCAACUGUCUUUUUCAAUCAAACCUAUGAAACAGGCCUAAAUAAACAAACAAACUCUCAAUAGAAACAGAAACCAAAGACAACAUCAAAACGUUACUGUUCUGUUGUUCCACCCUGGUUCAAUGCCUUUUGUAACGGUCUCUUUUUGAUGGAUGAUGAUGAAGAAGAGGACCUGUGAUCUGUGUUUGUGUGGGGAUUCAUGAAUUUAGCUACAGGUAUUGUGAUCCAAAUAUAGGGCUGUCUUAUGCUACAAAAGAAGUAUUCAAAAUCAUUCUCCAACAGUUAAACAGUUCACGUACGCACAAACUUUUUGGAUUGCAUUGAGGAGUCAUUGGAAUGGAAUAUUAGAUAAGUUCGGGUGAGAGACUUUACAAGAAUUAUUAUAUGUAUUAAACCUCACAUAAAGUGGUUGUUAUCUAAGAAACUGUUGUAAAAAAAUU